CCUCGGAUCAGGCAGGGAUACCCGCUGAACUUAAGCAUAUCAAUAAGCGGAGGAAAAGAAACCANCAGGGAUUGCCUCAGUAACGGCGAGUGAAGCGGCAACAGCUCAAAUUUGAAAUCUGGCUCUUUCAGGGUCCGAGUUGUAAUUUGUAGAGGAUGCUUCGGCGUGGGCUCCGGUCUAAGUUCCUUGGAACAGGACGUCAUAGAGGGUGAGAAUCCCGUAUGUGAUCGGUUGCCUUUGCCAUGUGAAGCUCCUUCGACGAGUCGAGUUGUUUGGGAAUGCAGCUCUAAAUGGGAGGUAAAUUUUUUCUAAAGCUAAAUACUGGCCAGAGACCGAUAGCGCACAAGUAGAGUGAUCGAAAGAUGAAAAGCACUUUGGAAAGAGAGUCAAAAAGUACGUGAAAUUGUUGAAAGGGAAGCGCUUGCAACCAGACCUGCCUGCAGUUGCUCAUCCGGGCUUUUGCCCGGUGCACUCUUCUGCUGUCAGGCCAGCAUCGGUUCGGGCGGUCGGAUAAAGGCUUCGGGAAUGUAGCUCCUCUCGAGGAGUGUUAUAGCCCGUUGCGAAAUGCGGUCAGCCUGAACUGAGGUCCGCGCUUCGGCUAGGAUGCUGGCGUAAUGGUUGUAAGCGGCC
rnacentral:rRNA from 1 species